UUGCCUUGGAGUGGAGCGAUGACAUUAAACCGAAUGCUGAACAAAGAUGCAAUCGUGAAUGGACAGAGUUAGGAAAUAGCGCAAGAGACGGGAAAAACAACCCAGGCGACAGGAGUUACCAGUGGCCCGUUUCCUGAAUCACUUCACCUUUCCCUGAAUCAUUGAUCGGUACCAGAAAAAAAAUGCAACCCACGUUUUCAUGGCUCCACCUCCCAGUGUGAUCCUAUUAAGGUCUGAGGAGGUAAGGGCGAGAACGGUUGUGAAUUUGCCCACACAGAUUAGAUGCAGAUGACAACACAGGGAGCCUACAGGGUCUGAGGUCCAUGAAAGCAAGACCUUUCUCUUCUUUUAAAUCUCAAGGCCUGGAAGUCUGGCACAGAGUAAUCGGUCUCCAGAAUGGCAUGGAACUAGAAGGUAGGGGCUGCUGGGAAUGAAUUUAAAAUAGCUCCUUCAUUUGGGUGUUGCCCCUCUAGCUGUCUGACAAGCAGCAAGUUUUUAAAAUAAAGAUAAUGCCUGGA